UGGAAGGAUCGGAUUUACUUAGUUGCU
rnacentral:piRNA from 1 species